CGCGCGUUCCCAUUUUGUUGGUUUCUGAGAUCGCCGUAAUGAUUAAUAGGGAUAGUUGGGGGCAUUUGUAUUCCGUCGUCAGAGGUGAAAUUCUUGGAUUGCCGGAAGACAAACUACUGCGAAAGCAUUUGCCAAGGAUGUUUUCAUUGAUCAAGAACGAAGGAAGGGGGAUCGAAAACGAUUAGAUACCGUUGUAGUCUCUUCUGUAAACUAUGCCAAUUGGGGAUCGGUACAGGAUUUUUAAUGACUGUAUCGGCACCCGAAGAGAAAUCUUUAAAUGAGGUUCGGGGGGGAGUAUGGUCGCAAGGCUGAAACUUAAAGGAAUUGACGGAAGGGCACCACCAGGUGUGGAGCCUGCGGCUUAAUUUGACUCAACACGGGGAAACUCAC
rnacentral:rRNA from 1 species